GACUGUGUAGCUCAGUGGGUAGAGCAUCAGACUUUUAAUCUUAGGGUCCAGGGUUCAAGUCCCUGUUCAGGUGGCA